GACGAACGCUGGCGGCGUGCUUAACACAUGCAAGUCGAACGGAAAGGCCCUGCUUGCAGGGUACUCGAGUGGCGAACGGGUGAGUAACACGUGGGUGAUCUGCCCCGCACUUCGGGAUACGCUUGGGAAACUGGGUCUAAUACCGGAUAGGAGUUAUCUUUAGUGUGGUGGUUGGAAAGUUUUUUCGGUGUAGGAUGAGCUCGCGGCCUAUCAGCUUGUUGGUGGGGUAAUGGCCUACCAAGGCGGCUACGGUGGGCCGGCCUGAGAGGGUGUACGGCCACAUUGGGGCUGUGAGAAAGGCCAGAGUCCCACGGGAGGCAGGAGGGGGGAAAAUAUCACAAUGGGGGCGAGCGUGAUGCGGCGAGGCGGCGUGUGGGGUGAAGGCCUUCGGGGUGUAAACUCCUUUCGCAGGGGGGGAAGAUUGGUUGUGACGGUACCUAGAGAAGAAGCACCGGCUAACUACGUG
rnacentral:rRNA from 1 species